rnacentral:rRNA from 1 species
UAAUACAUGCAAGUAGAACGNCUGAAGGAGGAGCUUGCUUCUCCGGAUGAGUUGCGAACGGGUGAGUAACGCGUAGGUAACCUGCCUGGUAGCGGGGGAUAACUAUUGGAAACGAUAGCUAAUACCGCAUAAGAGUAGAUGUUGCAUGACAUUUGCUUAAAAGGUGCAAUUGCAUCACUACCAGAUGGACCUGCGUUGUAUUAGCUAGUUGGUGGGGUAACGGCUCACCAAGGCGACGAUACAUAGCCGACCUGAGAGGGUGAUCGGCCACACUGGGACUGAGACACGGCCCAGACUCCUACGGGAGGCAGCAGUAGGGAAUCUUCGGCAAUGGACGGAAGUCUGACCGAGCAACGCCGCGUGAGUGAAGAAGGUUUUCGGAUCGUAAAGCUCUGUUGUAAGAGAAGAACGAGUGUGAGAGUGGAAAGUUCACACUGUGACGGUAUCUUACCAGAAAGGGACGGCUAACUACGUGCCAGCAGCCGCGGU